rnacentral:rRNA from 1 species
AACGUAGGGGACAAGCGUUAUCCGGAUUUACUGGGCGUAAAGCGCCCGUAGGCGGCUUUCUAAGUUGGCUGUGAAAGCUCCCGGCUUAACUGGGAGAGGUCAGUCAAAACUGGAGGGCUAGAGGAUGGAAGAGGCGAGCGGAAUUCCCGGUGUAGUGGUGGAAUGCGUAGAGAUCGGGAGGAACACCAGUGGCGCAAGCGGCUCGCUGGUCCGUCCCUGACGCUGAGGGGCGAAAGCGUGGGGAGCGAACGGG